rnacentral:rRNA from 1 species
CCAAGGAGUCUAACAUGUGCGCGAGUCAUUGGGUCUUGUUCAGGCCCAAAGGCGCAAUGAAAGUGAAGGCCGGCUCGGUCGGCUGCGUUGGGAUCCCGUGCUCACGUGCGGGCGCACCAACGGCCCGUCCCGAUCGCUUCGUCGAUGGGGCGGAGUGAGAGCGUACACGUUGGGACCCGAAAGAUGGUGAACUAUGCCUGGGCAGGACGAAGCCAGAGGAAACUCUGGUGGAGGUCCGCAGCGAUUCUGACGUGCAAAUCGAUCGUCAGACCUGGGUAUAGGGGCGAAAGACUAAUCGAACCAUCUAGUAGCUGGUUCCCUCCGAAGUUUCCCUCAGGAUAGCUGGCGCUCGGAGGAAGCAUUCUCAUCCGGUAAAGCGAAUGAUUAGAGGCCUUGGGGCCGAAACGACCUCAACCUAUUCUCAAACUUUAAAUGGGUGAGAAGUCCGGCUUGCUCGACUGAAGCCCGGACGCGAGGAUGCGAGUGCCCAGUGGGCCACUUUUGGUAAGCAGACCUGGAGCUGUGGGAUGAACCAAACGCCGGGUUAAGGCGCCCGAUGCGAGACGCUCAUGAGACCCCAUGAAAGGUGUUGGUUGCUAUAGACAGCAGGACGGUGGCCAUGGAAGUCGGAAUCCGCUAAGGAGUGUGUAACAACUCACCUGCCGAAGCAACUAGCCCUGAAAAUGGAUGGCGCUUCAGCGUCGAGCCCAUACCCGGCCGUCGCGGCUAUCAAUGGUGUUUUAUGCUGCGACGAGUAGGAGGGCGCAGGGGUGCGCGUUGAAGGUGCCGGGCGCGAGCCCGUCUGGAGCCGCCCCUGGUGCAGAUCUUGGUGGUAGUAGCAAAUACUCAAGUGAGAACCUUGAGGACUGAGGUGGAGAAGGGUUCCAUGUGAACAGCAGUUGAACAUGGGUCAGUCGGUCCUAAGGGAUAGGAGAAAUCCGUUCCGAAGCGGGACCUUUAAAUGCAGGUGGUCCCGCUGCAGACCGAAAGGGAAUCGGGUUAAUAUUCCCGAACCCGGACAUGGAGAUCGACCCCUCACGGGGUUCAGUGCGGUAACGCAAACGAACUCGGAGACGUCGACGGGAGUCCCGGGAAGAGUUGUCUUUUCUUUGUAAGGGCUCGGCUCCCUGGAAUCGGCUCGCCCGGAGAUAGGGAUGCUGUACCCGUAAAGCACUGCGCCUCUUGCGGUGUCCGGAGCGCUCCCGUCCGCCCUUGAAAAUCCGAGCGAGAGGUUGUGAUUUUCGUGCCGGACCGUACCCAUAUCCGCAGCAGGUCUCCAAGGUGAACAGCCUC